UACGUAGGGGGCUAGCGUUGUCCGGAAUCAUUGGGCGUAAAGAGCGCGUAGGCGGCCCGGUAAGUCCGCUGUAAAAGUCCAGGGCUCAACCCUGGAAAGCCGGUGGAUACUGUCGGGCUCGAGUCCGGAAGAGGCGAGUGGAAUUCCUGGUGUAGCGGUGGAAUGCGCAGAUAUCAGGAAGAACACCAAUGGCGAAGGCAGCUCUCUGGGACGGUACUGACGCUGAGACGCGAAAGCCAGGGGAGCAAACGGG
rnacentral:rRNA from 1 species